rnacentral:lncRNA from 1 species
AACAGUCAUGCAUUUGACAGCUUCCAGCACAGAAUUCAAACUCUUUCACUCUUUCCUUUAUUUCCUCUCAUGGUAUCUCAGUGAGGCACCUAAAAAUGUGUUAAACUUCAAGAGUCCCACCUGAAACAUUUGCAGCCAGUACCCAGCAUCAUGAAGCCCGAGCAGCCUGAAGUGAAGGCUGAUGGGACAGGUAAUCCCAGGAUUGUCCCGUCUAACAGGACAGCAUCCAUGAAAGUAAGAAGACCCCCAAAGUCAAAAAGAAAGGAGCUGAAGACUGGCUGGCCAAUCACUCAGACCGUUGUAGGGGAGGAAGACAUUUCCUCUACCAUCUCUGGGUUCGUCUGGCCGGAGAACGAAUUAAGUUCACAUGAGACAGAAUAGCAGGAGAAAAUUAAACAAAGCUUUAUGAGGACCAUGGCCUGGGGCCUUUCUUCCCGAAGGAAGAAAGGGCACCGAAGAAGUGGAGUGAACAAAGUGGUUAUAUACCCCCAAACAGGAUGUUUCACAUAUGAUUGAAAUGGCCCUCCCACAAUAGUCACGAGAUUGCCCUGUUGGCACAGCACUUGAUGAACACAGCAGGUAGUGGGUCUGCUAUCUCAGAGGGCAUAGCAUGAGGCAAGUCUAUUGUCUCAAGCUGGGUGGUCACAGGUGAGCGCAGCAAUCAGUUCCUAACCUCAGGAAAGAUACUGAAUCCUUAAGGAAAUGCCAAUGUUGGGAGGGAGUGGGAAGUUGCACCUUUAUCUCAAGGGCCUUUGUUCUUGCCGUAGUAAAUGUUUUAAAGCAGAUAUACAAUGCCUGCUCAAUGGCCACAGUCAGGCCCUUUUGGAAAAAGCAAAGACAGGCCGAACCAGGCUUACACCAAAUGGCUUCCUCAUGUACUCCAAUAUAUCCUAUUGCUUGCCAUUUCUAUUUGUCAAUGUAUAGAUGGGAGAGGCUCAGGCAAGCCAAGCAACUCGCCAAAAUAGCCGAAACCACCCCCGCAAACAUCAUAUCCAGCUAAAAGACAAAGAAGGACGCUGGGGGUGGGGGGAGUCAGUUACAGGAGGUUACCAGACAAGCACAAUAAACAAAUGCAGAUUUAAGUCCUUGCCUUCCCC